AUGGCGAUCACGGCACAGACCCCCGACAUCCUGGGCGAGCGCCAGUCCGGUCAGGACGUCCGCACGCAGAACGUGGUGGGAUGCCAGGUGGUGGCCAACAUCGUCAAAUCAUCGCUCGGGCCCGUCGGGCUGGAUAAGAUGCUGGUGGAUGAUAUUGGCGAUGUUACAAUCACAAAUGACGGAGCAACCAUUUUGAGGAUGCUGGAAGUCGAGCACCCAGCUGCAAAGGUUCUUGUUGAGUUGGCCGGGCUCCAAGAUUGGGAGGUUGGUGAUGGAACAACAUCUGUUGUCGUCAUAGCUGCAGAGUUGCUCAAGAGAGCCAAUGAACUUGAGAGGAAUAAAAUCCAUCCGACCUCAAUUAUUAGUGGCUACAGGCUCGCUAUGCGUGAGGCUUGCAAGUAUGUCGAAGAAAAGCUCUCUGUCAAGGUUGAUAAACUUGGAAAAGUUUCCCUUGUUAACUGUGCAAAAACUAGCAUGUCUUCAAAAUUGAUUCACAGCGACAGUGAUUUCUUUGCAAAUCUGGUUGUCGAAGCAGUUCAAGCUGUGAAGACUACAAAUGCUAAGGGAGAAGUGAAGUAUCCAAUCAAGAGCACUAAUAUUUUGAAAGCUCAUGGUAAAAGCGCUAAGGAAAGUCACCUGCUCAAUCGUUAUGCGCUGAACACAGGCCGCGCAGCUCAAGGAAUGCCUACAGAAGUAACGGCUGCUAAAAUCGCUUGCCUUGAUUUUAACCUCCAGAAGACAAAAAUGCAAAUGGGCGUUCAAGUUCUUGUAUCUGAUCCAAGAGAACUUGAGAAGAUCCAUCAGAGAGAAUCUGACAUAACAAAGGAGCGAAUUGAGAAAAUUCUCAAGGCCGGUGCUAAUGUUGUAUUGACCACCAAGGGAAUUGAUGAUAUGUCAUUGAAGUACUUUGUUGAGGCUGGAGCAAUUGCAGUGAGGCGUGUGCGUAAGGAGGAUUUGUGUCAUGUUGCCAAGGCAACUGGUGCAACAAUGCUGAGUACUUUUGCUGACAUGGAAGGUGAAGAAACAUUUGAUCCAUCAUUCCUUGGACUUGCUGAUGAAGUUGUGGAAGAAAGAAUUGCCGACGAUGAUGUAAUUCUGGUGAAAGGCACAAAGAACACUAGUGCGGUCUCAAUUAUACUUAGAGGAGCGAAUGACUACAUGCUAGAUGAGAUUGAGCGGUCUUUGCACGAUGCACUCUGCAUUGUGAAGAGAACACUGGAAUCCAAUAUGGUAGUUGCUGGUGGUGGUGCAGUAGAAGCUGCAUUGUCUGUGUACUUGGAGAAUCUCGCUACUACUCUUGGCUCUAGGGAACAACUAGCGAUUGCUGAAUUUGCAGAAUCUUUGUUAAUUAUCCCAAAGGUUCUUUCUGUUAAUGCUGCAAAGGAUGCAACUGAGCUCGUUGCGAAGCUUAGGGCAUAUCAUCAUACCGCUCAAACAAAGGCUGAUAAGCAACACUAUUCAAGCAUGGGUCUUGAUCUUGUGAAAGGAAUCGUCCGCAACAACCUUGAAUAUGGCGUGAUUGAGCCAACAAUGAGCAAAGUAAAGAUUAUUCAGUUCGCCACUGAAGCGGCCAUUACUAUUGUAAGGAUUGAUGACAUGAUCAAGCUUACCAAGGAAGAGUCUUGGAACGAAGAGUAA
rnacentral:rRNA from 1 species